rnacentral:rRNA from 1 species
GUUAUUCAACUAAAGAUUUAUCGGUAACGGAUAGGGAUGCGUGACAUUAGAUAGUAGGCGGGGUAACGGCCCACCUAGUCUACGAUGUCUAGGGGUUCUGAGAGGAAGGUCCCCCACACUGGUACUGAGAUACGGACCAGACUCCUACGGGAGGCAGCAGUGAGGAAUAUUGGUCAAUGGUCGGAAGACUGAACCAGCCAUGCCGCGUGCAGGAAGAAUGUCUUAUGGAUUGUAAACUGCUUUUGUAUGGGGCUAAUAAUAACUUUGCGAAGUUAGAUGCAGGUACCAUACGAAUAAGGAUCGGCUAACUCCGUG